rnacentral:rRNA from 1 species
UACGAAGGGGCUAGCGUUGUUCGGAAUUACUGGGCGUAAAGCGCACGUAGGCGGAUUGUUAAGUCGGGGGUGAAAUCCUGAGGCUCAACCUCAGAACUGCCUUCGAUACUGGCAAUCUCGAGUCCGGAAGAGGUUGGUGGAACAGCUAGUGUAGAGGUGAAAUUCGUAGAUAUUAGCUAGAACACCAGUGGCGAAGGCGGCCAACUGGUCCGGU